rnacentral:rRNA from 1 species
AUACGUAGGGGGCGAGCGUUAUCCGGAAUUACUGGGUGUAAAGGGUGCGCAGGCGGCCAUUUAAGUCAGAUGUGAAAGGCUACGGCUUAACCGUAGUUAGCAUUUGAAACUAGAAGGCUUGAGUGCAGUAGAGGAGAGUGGAAUUCCUAGUGUAGCGGUGAAAUGCGUAGAUAUUAGGAGGAACACCAGUGGCGAAGGCGACUCUCUGGACUGCAACUGACGCUGAGGCACGAAAGCGUGGGUAGCGAACAGGAUUAGAUACCCUGGUAGUCCACGCCGUAAACGAUGAGUGCUAGGUGUUGGGGGUAUUGACCCCUGCAGUGCCGUAGCUAACGCAUUAAGUACUCCGCCUGGGAAGUACGGUCGCAAGACUAAA